rnacentral:rRNA from 1 species
AACGAACGCUGGCGGCAGGCCUAACACAUGCAAGUCGAACGCAUCCUUCGGGGUGAGUGGCAGACGGGUGAGUAACGCGUGGGAAUCUACCCAUUGGUACGGAACAACCGAGGGAAACUUCGGCUAAUACCGUAUGUGCCCGAAAGGGGAAAGAUUUAUCGCCAAUGGAUGAGCCCGCGUCGGAUUAGCUAGUUGGUGGGGUAAGAGCCCACCAAGGCGACGAUCCGUAGCUGGUCUGAGAGGAUGAUCAGCCACACUGGGACUGAGACACGGCCCAGACUCCUACGGGAGGCAGCAGUGGGGAAUAUUGGACAAUGGGCGCAAGCCUGAUCCAGCCAUGCCGCGUGAGUGAUGAAGGCCCUAGGGUUGUAAAGCUCUUUCAGCGGGGAAGAUAAUGACGGUACCCGCAGAAGAAGCCCCGGCUAACUUCGUGCCAGCAGCCGCCGUAAGAC